UACGGAGGGUGCGAGCGUUGUCCGGAAUCAUUGGGCGUAAAGGGCGCGUAGGUGGCCCGGUCAGUCCGUGGUGAAAGCGCGGGGCUCAACCCUGCGUCGGCCAUGGAUACUGCCGCGGCUGGAGCACUGUAGAGGCAGGCGGAAUUCCGGGUGUAGCGGUGGAAUGCGUAGAGAUCCGGAAGAAUACCGGUGGCGAAGGCGGCCUGCUGGGCAGUUUGCUGACACUGAGGCACGAAAGUGUGGGGAUCAAACAGG
rnacentral:rRNA from 1 species